AGGUGAAUUCAAAGAAAGAAAAACUUCAAAUACCAGCCUUAUAGUUUUGCACUUUUUUAUUUUAGUAUUUUAUUGUUAAAGUAUAUCAAUUUAGUACUCCGUGGUUUCAUUUUUCUCUUUUUAUUAUACCCUCCACUAAUUUUUUUCGUUAACUCAGUGACAAAAUUAAAACUAAAAGGUAAUAAAGUAAUAUUCGAUAAAAUUUAAGUGGGUAUCUGAAAUUUUGUAUAUAAUUUAACGAAAUGUUAAUGGAGGAGCUGACGAAAAGAGAAAAAUAAAACUAUAAGAUACUAAAAUGAGAAAGUACGAAACCAUAGGGAUGGUAUUUAAAGUUACCCUUAAAAGUAUUAACAAACCAAGGUUAUAAAAAGCAGAUAGUGGGUACAUAGCAUUUGCGGAUAUCAAAGUGGAUAUCAGACAGCAAGUGUUGUGGCGACCGCUAUGAAUCCAUAGCAAGAUUUAUGAUAAAUUAUUUAAAUGCUUUUAUUCUAACUGCAUUUGUAUUUAAAAUAAUAAUAGUAAUAAUAUGCUAAGCUAGUUUAGGCAUAGAAGUAUAACAGUUUUUAAUUUUUCUAUAUUUAUAUCUAAAGUAUUUCUACUUAGUGAUCGUUAGUAGCUGCGGUGAUGCUUGAUAGCCGCUGAUAAAAUAGUGUUGUGACCAUAUUAUUAAUNAUCAUUUUUUAAUUAAUUGAUUUUUAAAUAAAUAGAUUUAUUGAGUACCAGUAUUCAAAGAAAUAGCUCUAUCGAUUUUAACACCCUUUUUUUUAAAAAAAAAAUAGCUCAAGAUGUACCAAUAAUCCCUCUGAGUACUCAACCUAAGUUCCACAAAACCUAAGCAUUUCCCUGUGAAAACUUCGAUUGAGUACCCGUAUUUAAAGAAUCAGUCUCAAUACUGAUGCGGGGAUUUGCAUGCCCACACUGCAGGUUGAUUUUCGAACUUCAUUUUUCACACCAUUUUGGAUCAAAAAUAGUUCUGACUCACCUCAAAUUCUUCCAAAAUCUCCCAGAUGGUGCCAUAAGCCAUUGUACACUGGAUUUUAGUAUAUACUACAUUUAUAAAUUUUAGACAUAUCCGUUAGAAUAGAAUUAUAUUUUUUUUAUUGGAUCCAUAAUGCACAAGGUGAAUUAAAAGAAAGGAAAACUUCAAAUACCACCCUUAUGGUUUUGCACUUUUUUAUUUUAGUAUCUUGUCGGUAAAGUGUAUCAAUUUAGUGCUCCGUCGCUUCAUUUUUCUCUUUUUAUUAUCCUCUCUACUAAUUUUUUUCGUUAAAUCGGUGACAAAGUUAAAACUAAAAGAUAAUAAAGUAAUAUUCUAUAAAAUUUAAGUGGGUAUCUGAAAUUUUGUAUAUAAUUUAACGAAAUGUUAAUGGAGGAGCUGACGAAAAGAGAAAAGUAAAACUAUAAGAUACUAAAAUGAGAAAGUACAAAACCACAUGGGAGGUAUUUGAAGUUUACCCUUAAAAGUAUUAACAAUUCAAGGUUAUAAAAAGCAGAUAGUGGCUACAUAGCAUUUGCGGGUAUCAAAGUAGAUAUCGGACAGCAGGUGUUGUGGCGACCGCUAUGAAUCCAUA
rnacentral:lncRNA from 1 species